GACAGAGGUCCCAAGCGUUAGGCGGAAUCACUGGGCGUAAAGCGCGUGUAGGCGGCCCUGCAAGUCGGAUGUGAAAUCCCACGGCUCAACCGUGGAAGUGCAUUCGAAACUGCAGGGCUAGAGUCCUGGAGAGGAAGGUGGAAUGCUUGGUGUAGAGGUGAAAUUCGUAGAUAUCAAGCGGAACACCGGUGGCGAAGGCGGCCUUCUGGACAGUGACUGACGCUGAGACGCGAAAGCGUGGGGAGCAAACAGG
rnacentral:rRNA from 1 species